GGCUGCCGGGAACGGGCGCGGGGGUGAAUAGGAAGUGGCAGCACUGUGGAAUGGGGAACAGAUGGAAGAAUGAGCAGCUGGGAGGCACACUCUUGCAAAAACCCAGGCAAGAGACAAUAAAGACCUCUGUCGUAGGGAUGGUGAGGAGAAGAUGAACUAGAGACAUUUAGAAAUAAGAACCAAUAGCACAAGGGAACCAGCUGAAGGUGGGGCAUAGAAAGAAAAAAUCUGAGGUCAAGAAUACAAUUUUUUGCUCAUUUGAACAAAGUUUGGGAAUACAGGAAGAAGAGCAGAUUAAAGGAUUCAAGUAGGGACAGGAGCUUCCACUCAUGAGUUUAUUUUGUACAUGCUGAGUUUGAAGUGCCUGUGGAAUGACCAGGUAGGAAAUACUUGUGUGGCGCUAAGGAGUGAGAUGAAGGCUUGAGAUCUGGAAGUGGAUGACAACAAAGGACAGAGAGAGGGGAGAUGUCAGCAAAUGGGAUGAGCAGAGAGGAGUAAUCAAAGAACAACCUAAGAGACUGUGGGAGGACAAAGAAAGGGUAUUAUGGAAGCUGAAUAAGACAAUUUCAAGGAAAGCAUAGUCAUCAGUGAGAUC
rnacentral:lncRNA from 1 species